AAUAAUACUACUAUUUUUUAAUAAUGCACAAAAUCAGUUGUUUUAUAAAUAAGAUUGUGGACCAGCUCUAACAUGAUAAAUUUGGAGUUCUUAAUUUUUUCUGCUCACUGCAUUAGUGAAAAGAUUUAUUAAUAUUCUAGAAAAAAUAUGUCAUAUAAAGUCAUAGUAUACAUAAUAUUUUGAAAGUGCUAAAAAAGAGAAAAGUGUCCCAUGAGGAUAAAUUUUGUAAUGAAAUUUGUCAUGAGUGCUUAUCUUCUUUAAAAGUUUACAUAAUUAAUGAAAAUUUACAGAAAUAAUUUGUUUUAAAAGCAAGUAUUGAAUAAGAAAGGCUUUAUUUAUUAGGAUAGUUAAGUCUCCAACUUCUAAUUUGACAGGCUUAUCAUUUUCAAUAGAAACAAUUCUGGUAGCUGCCAUCUUGAACUUCAUCUUCAUUCAACCAUGUAGCAAGUUUGUUCAACUCAGGCAAACAUUUUAAAGGGUGUUAUUAAUAGUUAUAAUUCUUCUUGAUGUGUAUAUUGAAAAGAAACCACCGAUUUUUCAUCAUUGGUCAUAUUAACUGUGCCAUGUGAUUUAUUUGUUCAUUGUAUUGUAAUGUAAGAUUGUAACAUAAAUUGUAACAGUUGAUGACAUAGAACACUACAAAUUAUGACAUAGUACACUACAAAUUAUGACAUAGUACACAUAUUAUGACAUUGAAGACACUGAACAUGGCCUAGUGUUGCAUGGAAUAGUUUACAAAACAAGACAAUGUUUGUAUAGUCUUUUUUAAAUAAGUUUAUAUUAAACUUUUGAUUACACCAAUGAUCAUAAUUGUUUACAAUGGAGAAUAAUGGGAACAAUUUAUAAGUUGCUUUCAGGAGUUAUUCUAAUUUUUGAACUUUCCUCAGAGUUUAGUACUUUUGUGAUUUUACUUUUUACAGAGGUUUUAUAGCAUUGUUCAGUAGUAUUUGAGAUGUUCAAUGAAACUUUCAAUUUAAAUUUACUGAAAAAUACCCUAUUUUGGUUGAUUUGUAAUGAUAAAAAAAAAAAAAAGAUUUGGUAAACUGAAAAACAUUGGACAAUGGAUAUUACUAUCACUAUUUUGUCUGUGUAAUUCCAUCUGAGAGUGAAGGAUUAAUGGGUGAUUAAAAUACACAGCUUACAUAAUACAAUACUUUACUCCUGAAAAACACUUUAAAUUUCAAUAACUGUAUUCAGGAAAAUUCUGACAUAAAUGAAAAGUGUAGCAUCAUAUAGGUAACAUCUGGUCACAGAUAUUACAGGAAAAUUAUAAUUAAUAAUGAAAUUCUGUAUAAACAACUUUGUAGUAAUAAAUAACAUUCACAUUUUAUUGUAGAUCUCACUUAAUACAGAUAGAGUUAUAUUAUAAUAAAAAUUAAAUUGCUGUUUCUAAACAUGAAAACUUGUGUACAUUUAUUAUCCAGCUAGCUAUAAGAAAUAUUUAAGAUAUCUAUACAAUAUAACAGCUACUAGAUAUCUGUCUAAUAUGGUCAAUGUUGUACAUAUGUGGUCAUCUCACUGUUACUUAUAGAUUGAACAUAUUUAUAUAAAAAGCCGAAGUUAAAGCCGCAGUUUGGUACUUCUUUUCUUUUCCUUUUACCUCAUUUUGGAAAUUAAAAUUUGUUAAACCAUUUCAGUUGGUUGACACUACUGCAGUUCGACCUUCCUUUGUUUUUUUAGGUUUACCUCAUUUUGUGUAUAAACUAUAUAGGAAAUUAAAAAUUGUUAAACCAUUUCAAUUAAUUGACAAUUACCCAUUUUAUCAAGAUAGCUUAGUUGUACUCACAUCAAGUGAUCUUGGUUUAGUUUAUUGAUAACUGUCUUCCAGAAAAAUGAAAACAAAACGUUUAUGACAUUUUAGUGCCAAAGGGACACUUGAAAAUUUAUGGAAAUAAUUGUUCUUCAAAUUUCAGAUUCACCAAUAGCAUUUUAUUAUGAUUAAAUUACUGAUGUAAGAAAAUGCCAAGUCUCUUUCACAUGAUUUGCGGUUGACAGACAGUUGCUAUUAACUUUUUUUCUGGAUAUUUUAUGCUUGCAUAUAAUGGUAUAUUAAUAAUUCAAUAGUUCAAUGGUUACCCAAUAUUUGAAGAAAACAAGUGAAGAAAUAUAUAAUGUUGCAUUAUGAAAAAUUUAAAACAUCUACAAAAUAUAUGCUAUCUAGUAAUGUGCCAGUUAUAUCUUUUGAAUUUGCUUAAUAUAUAAUGAAAAGGAUUUUUUUGUACAUUUUCUGAUGAGUAUUUGAUUUACUUAAUAAUUUAAAAGAUUUUCUAACAUUUUUAAGAAAGAACUAUUUUAGACAGAAAUAAGAAUUUUGUAUUGUAGCCCAGAAAUUUUGUACCACAACUUUGUAUAAUUUUGUAAAGAAUGUGUAUAAACGUACUACUAAUUUAUUUUUACAGUAUUUUGUAAAUGUGACCUUUUUUAGGCUAUUUUAAAUAAGUUGAUGUUAUUUUCAAUUUUAUUUUGUCUAAAAAAAAAUAGGAUUCUGCAUGAACAGAAAUUGUUUUUUCCAUAUUUAGGUUAAAGUUAGAUUCUUCAAUUAGUACUUGAUUCCGCUUGUAAUAUAAACAAAAAGUGCAUGUUUUUGAGAGAUAUAUUUGAAUUUUUAUCUAAAUUGCUACAUAUCUAUUAAUUUUUACCAGAUUUUAUCUACUUAUACCUAUCAAGUUGAAUUUUUGCAGAUUUUAUAAUAAUUUUCAAAAAAAUAAACCAAAAUUGGUAUGUCUAAAAAAAGACAUUGCUCUUAGAAUUAAACAUGUCUGUUCAGUGAAUUCAGUGUUGAAAUUUUAAUCACAUUUAGAAACAAAAUUAUUUUUCUGGUACAGAGUUUUAUUAAAUAUUUGAUUCAGUAUUAAUUGUGUCAUUAUUAUUUUUUAAGCUAACAAUGAUUUUGUUUUUCUAAUUAUAUAUUUCAAGAGAUUGAUUGUUGUGAUUGUCGAUUUAUUUAUAGUACACGCUCUCUGGUAGAGUCUGAAACACGUAACCUUGUUUUUAUUUAUUUAAUUGUAUACAAAAGGAGAAAGGAUAUACAGUAUCAUCCUAGAGCAACUAAGUUGCAAAUUAAUUUUUGUAUAAAGAUAAUGAUGUAGAUUUGAGGCACGUCAAUUGUAUAAUAUGACCGUCAAAGUUUACAGUUUGUUAUAAUUAACACAAUCAUACAAUAUUAAUGCAAAUAUUUAAUGUAAUUGAUUGACUAAUUUCAAUAAUUAGUUAUUGUACUUAAUGAGAUGUGUUUUAUAUUUACACCUCAGACAAUAUAGAAGAUUUCUAAAUUAUUUAUUGAUUUUAGUUUAUAUAAAAAAUAUGGUGUUACACACAAUUUUAAAAAAUCAUUUAUUUCACAUCUACUAUAUAAUAUUUUAUUUUGAAACAAAACAAUGAGUAUGCACAAAAAUGCACUUUAAACUUCGAAAGUUUAUUAUGACAAGUGAUUAUCCCCCCUUCACCCCAUUUGUGUUAAUUAUAACAAUUUGUAGAUUCUGACAUGCAUGCAAGCCAUAUCAUUAUCACAUUUGUAUUCACAUAACAUAUAAAUCACUUCAUAAUCUGUUGAUACCAAAUAGUUCAGCCUUUUAUGAUAAUUCUAGCAUGUAAGAUAAAAAAAAGGAUUUGUCAAAUUUUUACAACUCUUAGUAAAUUUAUAUAGUAAGACAUCUUUGAAAAUAAAUCUGGCUGAAUAAAGAGGUGCAUGCAUAGUCAAUUACACUUAAUACAAGGCAAACCAAUUUUCAGAGUUGUUUUAAUUUAAAAAUAAGAAUAUUUUUUAUUGGGGCAAUGCUUUUAUUAAAGAAACCAAUAUCAAUGAUCUUUCAAAAUUAGAAAAAAAGUUUUUUGGAAAUAAAAUUAUGCAUAACAAAAGUUUUUUAAGCAUUUUAUUAUACUCUUAUCCUGUCCUGUGGUAAAAUGCCAGAUCAAUUUUCUUUCUAAUACCAGUUUAGUAUCCCUAAGAUGUUCUGUGAAAAGAAAGCUGUCCUUAUCUGUUAAUUUUAAUGAUACAACUUUGAUAUUCUAUCUGUCUAUCUGUUGUAUGUAAAUGUGUAUUUGUCCUUUGAUGUGAUGCACAUAUAGCAGUAACAUGUAUAAAUACCAUAACAUGCCUCCAUUUUGUAACAAAGUAACACGUUUUCAUUAAUGAUACCAUCAUGUCAUUUUUACAAUAAAUGCUAAACUGCAUAUUUGUUACAUUUAUUUAUUAUACUCGUAUAUUUCAAGGUCUAAAUGAUAUGUCUUAAAUACCAUAAACCCAAUGGACAAAAACUUCAAAGUUGUCCUGUGCCAAAAUUUCAUACAUUUAUACAUAUAAAACAUUAUGGAUCCAGCUUUCAUGACAUUAUCUGUGAUGAUUCAGAGAAACACAUUUGUUUCUUAAAACGUCCUGUUCCAAUAUUAAAAAGAAGAUGUGGUACGAUUGCCAAUGAGACAACUAUCCACUAAAGACCAAAAUGACACAGACAUUAACAACUAUAGGUCACCGUAGUCAGGAAUAUGGCUGUUAUUAUCAAAAAGUCCUGUUCCAAAUCAGGAAUAUGACUUUUAUUAUCAAAAAGUCCUGUUCCAAGUCAGGAAUAUGGCUGUUAUUAUCAAAAAGUCAUGUUCCAAGUCAGGAAUAUGACUUAUUAUCAAAAAGUCCUGUUCCAAGUCAGGAAUAUGGCUGUUAUUAUCAAAAAGUCCUGUUCCAAGUCAGGAAUAUGGCUGUUAUUAUCAAAAUAUCCUGUUCCAAGUCAGAGUCAGGAAUAUGGAUGUUAUUAUCAAAAAGUCCUGUUCCAAGACAGAAAUAUGGCUGUUAUUAUCAAAAAGUCAUGUUCUAAGUCAGGAAUAUGGCUGUUGUUAUCAAAAAGUCAUGUUCCAAGUCAGGAAUAUGGCUGUUGUUAUCAAAAAGUCCUGUUCCAAGUCAGGAACAUGGCUGUUAUUAUCAAAAAGUCCUGUUCCAAGUCAGGAAUAUGGCUGUUAUUAUCAAAAUGUCCUGUUCCAAGUCAGGAAUAUGGCUGUUAUUAUCAAAAUGUCCUGUUCCAAGUCAGGAAUACGGAUGUUAUUAUCAAAAAGUCCUGUUCCAAGUCAGGAAUAUGGCUGUUAUUAUCAAAAUGUCCUGUUCCAAGUCAGAGUCAGGAAUAUGGAUGUUAUUAUCAAAAAGUUAUACGCAGUGACAAGUGAUUACAUGUAAUCUAAAAGGCACUGGCUAGGGUUACAUGGAAAGGUAACAAUUAUAAAAAUAUUAUUGUUACAUUGGAGACUAAUUGCAAGAAUGCAAAGUUGGGUAAGGAGGUGUCAGACAACCAAUUACUCUCUCCAAUUUGUAAAAGUAGCCCUACUCUGACACAAAAUAGUGCUUUUGAUGUCCUUGUUUACUUAAACUAACCAACAAAUUUGCAGAAAGAAACUUUUGGUGAAAGAGAAAUAUAUCAAUCAUUUGAGCCAAAAUUACUUGUCUAUGAGUUGCAUUAAAAAUCGAGAUUAAUGCGCUCCAUAGUAUACUAAUUUUAUAAAUUUCCAAAAACCCGUUUUUUUUUGGUUUUUUUUGGAUACCUCUGUUUGAAGGUCAUUAUUUGUUAGAAGGCUUUAAAGUAUGGUGAAAUUGGCAUGUAGAAACUGAUACAUGUACAAUUAAGGAUAUACCUGGUUUCUUAAUUAAACUUAAGGUAAAAUAUUUAGAAACUGUGAAAAUUGCAAAAUUUGGUUGAACAGAUAGGGAUUUUUAAUUGGUGGUCUGACACCUAAGGAUUGAUUAAUUACGAAUGUAACAAUAAUUAUUGAGGCUACGGUUACAUUGCGUUAUUGUUACACGAAAAACAACAAUGUACGUUAGAUUUAUUAAACUUAAAUCUUCUAUAGUUUUGUUGCUUUAUUUUUAAUAUGUACUAAAUAAUACUUAUAAUAAUGAUAAAUAAUAAAUAUUGUUAUUCAACACAUGUUGUUUAAAUACUUUUACGUAUUAAUGGUUUUGAUGUUCUUAAAGAUACUACUUCAUAUUAGUAGGGCAAAAGGCGAACAAUAUAGUUCAAUGGUUUGUUGUUGAGAAUUUGUGCUGAGAAAAGUGUUCACUUUUAAGUAUUUAACUGCACACCUACUCUUAUUCCUGUCAUUAUACUUUGGACAAGGGGUGAAGAGAUUCCUAUUACCACUUUUAUUUUGGGUGAAAAUUUAAAACUUUGGAUGCGUUUGAAACGAAACUGAAACAAUAUCAAGACACAAAUUCCAGACAGCUAUACAAACGCAGUUCUAAACAAGAAUGUGUCCACAGUACACGGAUGCCCCACUCGCACUAUCAUUUUCUAUGUUUAGUGGACCGUGAAAUGGAAUAAAUUCUCUAAUUUGGCAUUAAAUUAGAAUGAUCUAUCAAAGGAACAUGUUUACUAAAGUUUCAAGUUGAUGGACUUCAACUUCAUCAAAAACUACCUUGACCAAAAACUUUAACAUGAAGCGGGACAGACGGACGAACGAACGGACGGACGGACGAACGAACAGACGGACGAACGGACGCACAGACCAGAAAAAAUAAUGCCCCUCUACUAUCGUAGGUGGGGCAUAAAAACAAUGAUACAUCAAAAACAAAGUUUGCUAACUGUGAACUUCUGUAUACAUGUAUCCAUAAAGGACAUACUUUCGUUUCAAAAUCAGAUGGAGCUCGCCCAAACCAAAGGUAAGUUUAUUUUAACCUAUAUACGAAUAUCAUGGGUAAUCAUCUUCUAUGCUAUCAUACUUCUGUCAAAAAGUAUCAAACAAAACAGAAAGAAAGAACCACCAGAAAAAUAUCACAGGCGCUUGAGGAAUUGACCUCCUUUUUGCGCUUUCGAUUUUUUGUCUGUUAACAUUUUGUAAUAUUUUAACUUAUUUUCAUUCUUUUAAUGUGUUCCAGCUCUGUUUUCAUACGAUAUUACAAUACCAUUAGUUUAUCAUUUGUGGUCCUCUAUUAUUUAUUUUCCUCCUUUUGUAAAAUAUUUACUAAAUGAGGAAACAUAAAAAUAGAAAAAGGGGGACCCGUUCGUCAAAUGAUAUGCCUUAUCACAGAAUGGUUAAUAUAGUAUAGAAAGUUGACUAAAAUUAAUUUGCAUGAAGUCAGUUUUCUAUUAAAAUACAUUUUUAUAUCGACUCAUAACUUCUAACUAUCUUUUAUUUACCACCACCAUAGAAAAUACACAAUGCACUGCAUCCUUGUAAUAUAUUAGUUAAAAAAUCCAUGUAUAAAAAAUAGAAAGGUGAAUGUAUUUCAAAGCGUAUUCCAUUAUAAAAAGCAAACAAACUUAAUAGAAAUACAUAAUGUAAGGAUCUUAACCAGGUUCUUGAUUUGGGACAGUCGCAUGUAAAGUACAUCCCAGCUCAUUUGUUCUAACAGGGUUGAUUAUGGCUCAGAUCACCUCUAUCAGAUCACCCCAGUUUCAGUUUCUUUGUUAUGCAUGAUUUUAAUAGUGCACAAAAUCAGUCGUUUUAUAAAUAAGAUUGUGGACAAGCUCUGACAUAAUAAAUUUGGAGUUCUUACUUUUUUCUGCUCACUGCAUUAGUGAAAAGAUUUAUUAAUAUUCUAGAAAAAUUAUAUCAUAUAAAGUUAUAUUUGUCAUGAGUGCUUAUCUUCUUAAAAAGUUUACAUAAUUAAUGAAAAUUUAAAGAAAUAAUUUGUUUUAAAAGCAAGUAUUGAAUUAGAAAGUCUUUAUUUAUUAGGAUAGUUAAGUCUCCAACUUCUAAUUUGACAGGCUUAUCAUUUUCAAUAGAAACAAUUCUGGUAGCUGCCAUCUUGAACUUCAUCUUCAUUCAACCAUGUAACAAGUUUGUUUAACUCAGGCAAACAUUUUAAAGGGUGUUUUUAAUAAUUAUAAUUCUUCUUGAUGUGUAUAUUGAAAAGAAACCGCCGAUUUUUCAUCAUUGGUCAUAUUAACUGUGCCAUGUGAUGUAUUUGUUCAUUGUAAUGUAAUGUAAGAUUGUAACAUAAAUUGUAACAGUUGAUGACAUAGAACACUACAAAUUAUGACAUAGUACACUACAAAUUAUGACAUAGUACACUACAAAUUAUGACAUAGUACACAUAUUAUGACAUUGAAGACACUGAACGUGGCCUAGUGUUGCAUGGAAUAGUUAACAAAACAAGACAAUGUUUGUAUAGUCUUUUUUUAAAUAUGUUAUAUUAAACUUUUGAUUACACCAAUGAUCAUAAUUGUUUACAAUGGAGAAUAAUGGGAACAAUUUAUACAUUGCUUUCAGGACUUAUUCUAAUUUUUGAAUUUUCCUCAGAAAUCAGUUUUUUUGUGAUUUUCCUUUUUUACAGAAGUUUCAUAGCAUUGUUCAGUAGUAUUUGAGAUGUUCAAGGAAAAUUUCAAUUUAAAUUUACAGAAAAAUACCCUUUUUUGGUUGAUUUUGUAAUGAUAAAAAAAUUUUUUUUUGGUAAACUGAAAAACAUUGGGCAAUGGAUAUUGCCAUCACUAUUUUGUUUGUGUAAUUCCAUCUGAGAGUGAACGAUUUUAAUGGGUGAUUAAAAUACACAGCUUACAGAAGAGAAUAUUGUAAUAACAAUAAACUUUACUCCUGAAAAACACUUCAAAUUUCAAUAGCUGUAUUCAGGACAAUUCUGACAUAAAUGAAAAGUUUAGCAUCAUAUAGGUAACAUCAAGUCACAGAUAUUACAGGAAAAUUAUAAUUAAUAAUGAAAUUCUGUAUAACCACAACUUUGUAGUAAUAAAUAACAUUCACAUUUUAAUGUAGAUCUCACUUAAUACAAAUAGAGUUAUAUUAUAGUAAGAAUUAAAUUGCUGUUUCUAAACAAGAAAACUUGUGUACAUAUAUUUAACCAGCUAGCUAUAAGAAAUAUUUAAGAUAUCUAUACAAUAUAACAGCUACUAGAUAUCUGUCUAAUAUGGUCAGUGUUGUACAUAUGUGGUCAUCUCACUGUUACUUAUAGAUUGAACAUAUUGCUAUAAAAAGCCUAAGAUAAAGCUGCAGUUUGUACUUUUUUUCUUUUCCUUUUACCUCAUUUUGGAAAUUAAAAUUUGUUACACCAUUUCAGUUGGUUGACACUACCGCAGUACAACCUUCCUGUUUUUUUUAUGUUUACCUAAUUUUGUGUAUAAACUAUAUGGGAAAUUAAAAUUUGUUAAACUGUCUCAGAGGAUUGACGCUUACCCAUUCAAGAUAGCUUAGGUAUACUCACAUCAAGUGAUCUUGGUUUAGUUUAUUGAUAACUGUCUUCCAGAAAAAUGAAAACAUAAUGUUUAUGGCAUUUUUAGUGCCAAAGGGACACUUGAAAGUUUUUAGAAAUAAUUGUUCUACAAAUUUCAGAUUCACCAAUAGCAUUUCAUUAUGAUUAAAUUACUGAUGUUAGAAAAUGCCAAGUCUCUUUCACAUGAUUUGAGGUUGCAAUUAACUUUUUUUCUAAAUAUUUUAUGCUUGCAUAAAUGGUAUAUUAAUUAUUCAAUGGUUCAAUGGUUACACAAUAUUUCAAGAAAACAAGUGAAGAAAUAUAUAAUGUUGCA
rnacentral:lncRNA from 1 species